UUUUCGAAAUGGCAAACUUAGAGAAAUCUAAGGACGCAAAACUACAGGGGCUACGUUGUUGUUCCACAACAAUAUGCCAGCCAGUUGCCGAA
rnacentral:ncRNA from 1 species